CAUGUGCAGACCCAUUUUUUUCUGAAGGCGCCAAGGAAGGCAGUGGGAUUGUACGUGAUGCACUCUUUUGAAUGCUGCCUGCAUUCAGCUCUACAUUUUCGACCCGCCCCUACUCUGCCGCAGACUGGCUGUGACCGCCCGUGACAUUUUUUUUGACAAGCAUGUCACUCCACUUGCGCAAACCUAACCAACGAAGGCAACGAACACUAGCCAAUCAGAGGCAGGUCUUCGCGGAAUGCGGAUAAAUGCUGAAUUCCAGCGCAUAUUAACAGUCCCACUUGAAACAACCUUCAUGGCUCAGUUGGACAGCCAUUUACCCCAGAUGACAUCUAUUUUCAACAAUUAGGGAGGUGUUUCUGGCCAAAAACUAGCCAAACAUCUGGUGAUCUUGCAAGAGGCUACAAGUGACAUCAAUCUUAAAAGGGCAGCAGUCCUCAAGGCACUUUGCAUCUACCUUGGUGAGGAUGAUGGACAUCUCAUUCGGG